rnacentral:rRNA from 1 species
CGCGCAGACGGUCUUGUCCGUCAGGUGUGAAAGCCCGGGGCUCAACCCCGGAAGUGCACUUGAAACAGCAAGACUUGAAUACGGGAGAGGAGAGAGGAAUUCCUGGUGUAGAGGUGAAAUUCGUAGAUAUCAGGAGGAACACCGAUGGCGAAGGCAUCUCUCUGGACCGAUAUUGACGCUGAGGCGCGAAGGCGUGGGUAGCGAACAGGAUUAGAUACCCUGGUAGUCC